UUGAAUACCAGGCAGUGGCAUGACUUUAUGCUCCUUAUGUCUCUCAUUCCUGGUUUACUGGUCUGUAAUCAGGGGUAUGGGCAGUACCUAUCUCAGUGGCUUGUUUUGGUGAAGUAAUGGAUCAAGGAGCAUCUAGUGCAGUACUUGGCAAUGAGUAAUCCAGGGAAAUAUUAACUGUCACUCCAGUUUGUUAGUAGACAAGGAGGGAGGCUCAGCAUGAGGUCAUGGGGACCUGGGAGAGCAGCAACUAAAGAAAGAGAAGGGUCAAUGAGAGCCGUUAGCAAGAAAGCCUUGCCAGGACUGAGGGACCCACGGGACUGGGUGAAGACAACAUUUCCUGUAGCUCUGUUUGGAUGGUCCCCACACCCAGAGGCUUAGAAAAGCGAAGGAAGAGGCUGAAGACUGUUAUCUGGGAAACCGACCCUCCCCAGUGACGGAGCAGCAGUCUAACAGGUGUCCCUCAUCUCUUUGCAGGACGACAGGGUAUCACUAUAUAGCUCUGGCUGGCCCAGAAUUUGCUAUGUAGACCAGUCUGGCCUCAAGCUCACAGAGAUCCACCUGGCUCCAGAGUAAUGGGAUUAAAGGUCUGUACCAUUGCAUCCAGCUCAUGUGUUAUUUACAAUCUAGCUAAAAUAGAGAGCUAAUAUUGUAAAUAAAAUUAGUCAGAUGGAGUUGCAAGCCAAGUGCCAUUGUCUAAAAUGCUUUUAGAAAACUUUAUGCUAAUGAAUAGAACUAUGGUCUAAUCUUAUAAUGAAUAAAAUAAACUAUUAGUAAGUACUUUAUCAAGAGUGGAGGUUUUAAUAAAUAAGUAUAUUGCAUGGUGAGGUUAUGACCUUUAGUUUCAGGGUUGAACGAACUGGGCUCCAGUUGAAGCUUCAGCUCAAGGCCAGUGGCUAAGGGCAUGUUCCAUAACUGUUUGUCACGUAGUGUCAUCUACAGAAUGGGUAUUAUAGCUCAAUCCAUCUCAUAGCUGCUGUGAGAAUUAAAUAAAGCAAUAUACAUGAUGUACACAUAGCACGACAUCUAAUCUGUGAGAUACAACAGCUAACUCUAUGUUGCAGCUAGGGUGUAUUAUUUUCAUGUUUGCGUUAGUGUUUCUGUUAAUAUACAGGAACCGAGUCUAUUUGCUUAGCUCGCAAUGUGAAUCACUUAAAGUAGUUGCUUUUGGUCUAUCGUCUCAGUUUUGUCCACUAAUAUUUCUGAGAGAUCCCUCAUCAAGCCAACAGAGCAGACCAUAAUGCUUGGGAACUGUGACCAGAGUCUGCAUAAAAAUAGCGUGGAGCUCAGUGGGCAGGAUAUUAAAUGUUACCACAGUUUAAAUUUAAGUUGUUCAAUAAUCACCUAUGUGACUUUUUUUUUUUUUUUUGAGAUAGGCUCUCUCUAUGUAGUCCAUGAGUCUUGGAACUUGCUAUGUUGACCAGGCUGUCUUCAAACUCAAAGAGAUCUGCCUGCCUCGGUCUCUCAAUUACUUUCUGCCUCUCAAGUGCGUGAGCCAGCACGCCCAGCUAUGACUUGCUUUUUAUUCUGCAUAAUUUGUUUUUUUCCAUAUAACUUGAAACCUGCUAAGCCUGGAAGCACUGUCUACCUGUGUUGGUGUUAUUGUGUAAUACUGUUUGGAGUCUGAUGAAUUUGAGGAAAGAGUAGAAUGUAAAAGAUAUUCCAAGACCUUCAUUUCAGCUUUAUAUCUAGACCUAAUUCUUCUGCUCUCCCUACAAUUCCUUCUCCCACUUGUUCUUCUGGAUUGUAAAAACUCUAAUGUAGAUGUAAUUUCUUCAGUCAUUUUUGCAAAGAGACACUGAUGAAUGAGAGGCACUGACGGACAAAAGCGUCAUGCUGACAGAUUAGAACCACUGAAGUUGGAAAAAGAAGGCCAGAAGAACAGCCAAAAGCCCCAGGAUUUUGAGCAGGAAAGAUACUGGGAUGCUGGACGAAGACUCCAGAGUGCGGGUCUUUAAGGGCUUCAGGAUCCUCUGCUUCUGGGCAAACUAUUUAUCAAAAAAUUCAGCUUCCCAUUCAGCCACUAGUGAGGAAAAUCCUAAGAUCUAACCCUAAAGGGAUGAAGAGAAGUAAUGCUGGCCAAGAGCUUCUUCCCUGGAAGAAGUGCUAAAAAAAAUUUAAUUCCUCAUCAGCCUGCCUGUAUCGCAAAAAUGACACUAGGGGGUGUUGGAGAACCUUCUGGAAGAUUUCAGUAUCACCUAAUCCAGGCA